rnacentral:lncRNA from 1 species
GGGUGAAGGCAAGAAUCUGCUGAAACCAGUGGUAGAGAGCAGAGGAACACCACACGUAAACCCCUGAAGGAUGGCUUUCCAUUCCUGAGAGUGCUUUCUAGAGGACACCCAACAGUGAGCUAGCCGGGGGUGGGAGGUGAGAACAGAAGCUCUUCAUGACUUGGGAAGAUUACAUAUGAAAACGUGGAUUGACUGGCUUCCUUAUGUCAUAUGAAGAUGGGAUUUUUUUUUCUUUCAAAUCAAUCUCUUAUGACAAGUAUCAGGGGAUCAUUUCAUGGAAAUCUAUGGAACCCCAACAAUCAGAGUCCAACACUCAAGUCUGACACCUCCCAGUUCUGUCUCUAAGCACAGUGUGCAGUUUGCAUGUGCUUCUCUUGAAUUCUCUUCAAGCAAGGAACUGUGGCACCACAGCCUACUGAGUGAGGUCACAAAGGCAGAGAGAGAGACUUUCUGUUGAUCUUAACAGCAGUGGCCUGUCAAGCCAUCCCAAUGAGAUGAAUUUGAACUCUGAUGCUGUCAGUUACUCAUUGCUAACUCACUCCAACCUGGCAAGCUCUUCAAAUGUAACCGUCAUCUUCCAGCAAGGGGCUCACCCAGUAAGUGGGGAUGUAUCACAGCCAAAGGCACAGCGCUCUGGCAAGAUCCUCGAAGUUUCCAUUUCUACUGUCAAUCUAAUCCAUGUCACCAGAUUUCUUUGGCUUUAAUGUCAUGGCUUUUAGUAUCAUUGACCCAAAAGCUUGCUAAUAUCUAAAAUCAGCAUAUCG